GACGAACGCUGGCGGCGUGCCUAAUACAUGCAAGUAGAACGCUGAAGAGAGGAGCUUGCUCUUCUUGGAUGAGUUGCGAACGGGUGAGUAACGCGUAGGUAACCUGCCUUGUAGCGGGGGAUAACUAUUGGAAACGAUAGCUAAUACCGCAUAACAAUGGAUGACACAUGUCAUUUAUUUGAAAGGGGCAAUUGCUCCACUACAAGAUGGACCUGCGUUGUUUUAGCUAGUAGGUGAGGUAAUGGCUCACCUAGGCGACGAUACAUAGCCGACCUGAGAGGGUGAUCGGCCACACUGGGACUGGGACACGGCCCAGACUCCUACGGGAGGCAGCAGUAGGGAAUCUUCGGCAAUGGGGGCAACCCUGAACGAGCAACGCCGCGUGAGUGAAGAAGGUUUUCGGAUCGUAAAGCUCUGUUGUAAGUCAAGAAAGGGUGUGAGAGUGGAAAGUUCACACUGUGACGGUAGCUUACCAGAAAGGGACGGCUAACUACGUG
rnacentral:rRNA from 1 species